GGGCUCCUGGCCUCCUGCUGCAGAGACCUGUCUCAGGCUGACACCCUUACUCCCUUGGGGGCAUCUGUGAGUCCUCCUGAGAUGGGGAGAUUUUGUUGUCGCCACCUCAAACCACCUCCUCUUCAUCUUGGAAGGUGGAGCAAGGGAGGGAAAGAGCUGGUGCCCAGGGGAGGCUGCGCUUCUGCCGCUGAGAGCAGGUGCCUUGGUUCUUAAACCAGGUGGUCUCUAAGCUGGCUGUGUGACCAGAGGGCCCCCACUCUGCAGCUGGGAAAACUGAGACCCUGAGAAUCAUUUCAUCCUGAGCUAGUUAGCGGGUUUGCGGAGGGCCGGAAUGAAGACAGAUCCAGCCCGGCCAUCUCACAGCCUCUUCUCUAAGCUGCCACGGACACACACGUACCCCUCCCAUUCUUGCUCCACCAGCCCUCACACACAACCACAGUCUGGCUCUUGGCUUCACAGAUCUUAAAGGAGCAGAAACUCUCCUCUUCCUGAACUUAAUCUCGAUCAGCUUGGUGGUGCCAUUUCCAAGCAACUGGAUGCUCUGAUGUUGCUUGGAGUGGAGCACUCUCUGCACCUGCACAGGACUUCAGGGUUUUCGUCUACGCCUCCUGUGACCCUCACGGUUUCCCCUUUGACAGACGAGACUCUGGGUUCUGACACCGGCUCUGCUUCGAAUGAGCUCUGAGACCCGGAACACAUCACUUCAGCUGCCUGAACCUGCUUCAUAAAUGCACUGACCUGCAAAACCUCGAUGUCAUUUCAUUCAUUCCACAAGCACUGCCUCUCAGGAGGCCCUGAGCCAGGUCCUGGGGCCACGAGGAUGAAGAUUCCAGCUCUCUGCUCUCAGGGCAGAAACACAUUCAGAGCCCAGCAAGGGUGUAGAAUGGGAGACCUCACGUGGGGAGAAGAGGGCAGGAACCCGAGUCCUCUCUCAGGGGACCAAGGGAUUCC
rnacentral:lncRNA from 1 species